UGCAAGAAGGAGGCGGCGGCGGCGGCGGCCGGAGCUGGAGUGGGAGGAGGGGAGGAACCUGAUCCUCGGUAGCGAAGGGCUGGAGGCAAACACCGAGCUCCCCCUGAGCCGCUCGGGAACAGGGAGGGUUCUGCUACCCUGAGGGGCCCUCCCCGCGGGGCAGAGGGGUUUCCUCAGCAGUGCCCCCGAGCAGGGACCGCGCCAGCCAGCAGAAACAGCUAGUUGUUGUCUACAGUGAAGAAUAAUUGGAAGCAUGGUGCCUGCUUCUUUUCCUGUGGGGGGAAGUCACGACAUGUACUUCUGACUCUAUGCUUGCCUUGAGGAACAAUGGCAUGACACAGGGAUGUGGACGUUUUUCAACCAGAUGCUUCGGUACAGCAGUGUCGGCACACAAGGAGUGUUCCACUGACUGACCUCUUUUUGUUUUCAAAUGAAGAGGAGCCAAGAAUAGGACGGCUUGGGAAGCCCAUCCUCGCCUAUGGCCAAGGGUUUCUCGUUUCUAGAAGAUGAAAGAUGUGAUGACUUAGGAAAAACUAGAAUCUGAGUAACUGUGGUGGGCACUGGGCCAGAGGUAGGCAUACACCUUGCCAUCCACAAGAGAAAGUGUGCUGUUCGAGAUGUGAGUCUUCAGAUGUUCCCGCCGCCAUAUCUGACAGCUGCUGCCAAGAUUCCCUGGUGCGAUGGACUCUUAUACCUCUACAACCAGAAGCCCAAGUAAACUCUUCUAUAAGUUGAAUGAAUCAUGCUUUAAAAAAAA
rnacentral:lncRNA from 1 species